rnacentral:lncRNA from 1 species
GGAGUCCUGGGGAUCAGGCGCGGAGCCCCCCUUUGCAGCCUCAGGGUCACCCGGAUUCCCCUUCCUGUGUCAGGAGGAUGCACCUCACCCGCCUGUGACUCUGAGGACCCCUCUGCCCUCUCUGGAGGGGGAUACAUCCGCCUCAUUGGUGUCAGGCAUGGACACGUGGCCUUUUGGCCAGUGGAAUGUGGGGGGACUGCCGUUUGCCACACCCGACCAUCAGCUUCAGGAGUCGCCAGCGUCUCCACCGCAGCUCACUCUCACCCUUCAUCUGAGACAGAACGUCCCUGUGGAGCUGAUCCUGCCACCAGACUGAGAACAGCGACAGCCAGCCUGUUGCUGCCGACACGAAGUUUGAGCGAGGUGUGGCCGUGUGUGGGUGAAGGCUACGGAGGUGGGGCUGUCUGUUACCGCAGCCGAGCUGACCGAGACACAGGCAGGAUGAGCUUCAUCCGUGAUGCACUGACGCUUAUUCAAACUGACCUUAUCGCAGUGUGAUUUAUGGACAAUAACAUGCGCACGUUUCAGGUGGACAUUUCACCAUGUGAACCUGUGCCUUUGUGUCUCCAGUCAAGAUGCAGAACGUUUCCAUCUCUUCGUAUCUCUUUAAAAUCUGUUCUCCCCACCCCUCAACUCAGUCACUGAUGGAUUUCUAUCAUUAUAGGAUUAGUCUCGCCACUUUUGGAACUUCAUAUAAAUACAGUCACUGGUGAGCCCUGUCUGUGUCCCAGUUCCCAGCCCGUCACUAUGUUCCAGAGAUGCAUGUGUGUGCGUCACCAGCUCACGCUCCAUCACUGAGCAGCCUCAGAAUUUCGGGUCACCGCCCCGGGGCAUUUGCCACCCCUCACGCACUCCGCAUGCUCCCACUUUACACCGUUAUGCACGAAUGGAGCCGCAUGACCGUUUGUGCGCAGGACUCUUGUGGGUGCACACUUUAGUAUCUUCCAGCUGCAUCCCUCUGAGUAAAAGUGAUGGUUAUUUAGCAAGUGGAUUUCCUUUUAAAGAAGUUUCCAAACUGUUUUUCCGACUAGCUAUUCUAAGGUAGUGUCCCACAAGCACGGACGAGAGUUCUAGUUGCUCCACGUCUUCACCAACAUCUGAUACUGUCAGGUUUUUUGUUUUCUAGUUUUUUUUUUUCCAGUGAGGGCGGUUGUCCCUGAGCUAACAUCCAUGCCCAUCUUCCUCUAUUUUUCAUGUGGGACGCUGCCACGGCAUGGCUUAACAAGCGAUGCUAACUCUGCACCCGGGAUCCAAAUCCACAAACCUGGGGCCACUGAGGUGGAGCGCACGAACUUAACCACUAUGCCACCGGGCCGGCCCCUUUAAUUUUGAUGAAGUCCUUUUACUGUUUUUUCUUCCACAGGGAAUUCUUUUUGUGUCCUAACUGAGGAAUCAUUGCUGGUGGAUUUUCUCUUCUUUCCUUCCGGAAGUCACGUACCGUUAGCUUUCACAAAGAGGUGGGUGAGCGAUUUUGCACGCGCAUUCUCCCUGUGGCGUC